rnacentral:rRNA from 1 species
GCCUCGGGAAACCGGGAUUAAAACCUCAUAAUGCGGCACUGAGACAUCUCAGAGCCGCCAAAGAUUUAUCGGCAAGGGAUGGGCCUGCGUCUGAUUAGUUAGUUGGUGGGGUAACGGCCUACCAAGGCGACGAUCAGUAGCCGACCUGAGAGGGUGAUCGGCCACAUUGGAACUGAGACACGGUCCAAACUCCUACGGGAGGCAGCAGUGGAGAAUCUUGCACAGUGGGCGAAAGCCUGAUGCAGCAACGCCGCG